rnacentral:rRNA from 1 species
AACUUAAAGGAAUUGACGGAAGGGCACCACCAGGAGUGGAGCCUGCGGCUUAAUUUGACUCAACACGGGGAAACUCACCAGGUCCAGACACAAUAAGGAUUGACAGAUUGAGAGCUCUUUCUUGAUUUUGUGGGUGGUGGUGCAUGGCCGUUCUUAGUUGGUGGAGUGAUUUGUCUGCUUAAUUGCGAUAACGAACGAGACCUUAACCUACUAAAUAGGGUUGCUGGCACUUGCCGGUUGACUCUUCUUAGAGGGACUAUCGGUUUCAAGCCGAUGGAAGUUUGAGGCAAUAACAGGUCUGUGAUGCCCUUAGACGUUCUGGGCCGCACGCGCGCUACACUGACGGAGCCAGCGAGUACAACCUUGGCCGAGAGGUCUGGGUAAUCUUGUGAAACUCCGUCGUGCUGGGGAUAGAGCAUUGUAAUUAUUGCUCUUCAACGAGGAAUUCCUAGUAAGCGCAAGUCAUCAGCUUGCGUUGAUUACGUCCCUGCCCUUUGUACACACCGCCCGUCGCUAGUACCGAUUGAAUGGCUUAGUGAGGCCUCAGGAUUUGCUUAGAGAAGGGGGCAACUCCAUCUCAGAGCGAAGAAUCUGGUCAAACUUGGUCAUUUAGAGGAACUAAAAGUCGUAACAAGGUUUCCGUAGGUGAACCUGCGGA